rnacentral:rRNA from 1 species
UGGGGAAUUUUGCACAACGGGGGAAACCCUGAUGCAGCGACGCCGCGUGAUUUAGAAGGCCUUCGGGUUGUAAAAAUCUUUUCUAUGGGAAGAAAAUGACAGUACCAUAGGAAUAAGGACCGGCUAAUUACGUGCCAGCAGCCGCGGUAAUACGUAAGGUCCGAGCGUUGUCCGGAAUCAUUGGGCGUAAAGGGUACGUAGGCGGGUAAGCAAGUUAGAAGUGAAAUCCUGUAGCUCAACUACAGUAAGCUUUUAAAACUGCUCAUCUUGAGAUAUGGAAGGGAAAGUGGAAUUCCUAGUGUAGCGGUGAAAUGCGCAGAUAUUAGGAGGAAUACCGGUGGCGAAGGCGACUUUCUGGCCAUAAUCUGACGCUGAGGUACGAAAGCGUGGGUAGCAAACAGG